rnacentral:rRNA from 1 species
CCUACGGGGGGCUGCAGUGAGGAAUAUUGGUCAAUGGGCGCGAGCCUGAACCAGCCAAGUAGCGUGAAGGAUGAAGGUCCUACGGGUUGUAAACUUCUUUUAUAAGGGAAUAAAGUGAGGCACGUGUGCCAUUUUGUAUGUACUUUAUGAAUAAGGAUCGGCUAACUCCGUGCCAGCAGCCGCGGUAAUACGGAGGAUCCGAGCGUUAUCCGGAUUUAUUGGGUUUAAAGGGAGCGUAGAUGGGUUGUUAAGUCAGUUGUGAAAGUUUGCGGCUCAACCGUAAAAUUGCCAUUGAUACUGGCAGUCUUGAGUACAGUUGAGGUAGGCGGAAUUCGUGGUGUAGCGGUGAAAUGCUUAGAUAUCACGAAGAACUCCGAUUGCGAAGGCAGCUUACUAAGCUGCCACUGACAUUGAUGCUCGAAAGUGUGGGUAUCAAACAGGAUUAGAUACCCCAGUAGUC